AGCUUCCAAAAGUAUCCGGAUAACCAAUAAAAAAAUGUGUGCAAUGCGAAUGAAUGAUCAUGAUAGAGCAAUGGCCACUUCAUGCGGCUCUCUUCAACCAUUGUCUCUAAAUAAUCUCCAAGUUUUUUAAUUCUCCAAGUACUUGUCAUUAAAUCGAAUAAUUAUGUAUCGUCUCAUAAAAGCCCAGAGAGUAUCUAUCAAAAAUGCUUACACUGGUCCUCUGCAUAUUUACACGGAGCCGGGUGAGAAACUGUGCUCAUUUUGUCAUGUGCAUCACUGCAAAGUCCCAAGGAAUCCGAAGUUUUCCCAAGUUCGACACCAGACAACAACAAUCAAUACAGCAAUAUUACCAAUGGUAAAAAAACUAAAGCGCAAGCCGAAGAGAUAUGCCGAGCUAUUAGAAGUCACCGACAGCCUUACAAGCAAUCGUCGAGCAGCCGUCCGAACAUUAAACGCGUCCCAUUUGUCUCAAUUGAUAAGACAGCCGGACAUAACGCUAGACAAACUCCACAGAAUGAAACGCACAAAUUUACUGAACAUUUCAAACGCAAAAAUAACAACGGACAGCAAUAACGAGGCUACUCAGAAGCUGCUGGACCUACAGGGAUCCUCUCUAAUCGAGGAUUCUCUGCGGAUGCACGCCGACACUCACAAGCUAGGAAUGACAGUGCUGGACGAUCUGGAAACUUCCGAAAUCUCCGGGACGUCAGACACAGCUUCGAUAAUAAAAAGUCGAUCCUUGCUGAAUUCAAUUCCAGAGGAUCAGGCUCAGCAAGCGUUGGAAGAGGAGCCAGACCCCCCGAAGCUCAUCCAAUCCUCUAAAAAAUCCAUGAAGAAAAAAAAGCCAGAUGUUGCUGAAAUUGUUAGGCUAAAGGAAGUUCAUGACCAGGCGAAGAGGGAGAGUCUCGUGAGGACUCUUAACGCUUACCUGAGGGUUUGCGUGAGCACUGGAAUGAUAGGGAGGGCCUAUCACACUAUAAUGCAUUACCGCAAACGUACCAACAAAUUUAAAUGUCCGAAGGUGGCUGACAUUAGCCUCUGUAACAUCCUACUGCAAGCCUAUGCAUCCUCGGGGAAUCUUAAAAAGAUCCAGGAGUUCCUCAAAAUAAUUAAAGUGGACCAGCUGAAGCCAACCGCCAAGACAUAUGCUGCUAUCUUCGAGAGCGUGGGGAGGCUUGAUCAGACAAAAGAGGCAUUGAGAAUUUUGAUAGACACCCAUGAGCAAAUGAAAGAGGAUAAUAUCAGCUUUGAUGACGUCAUGCAACACUCACAGCUAAGGAAGGAUCAGUACUUUAAUGUGCUAAAGGGAAUUCAAAUAUUGAACCCGGUGUUUCAACCUAAAGCUGAGGUGGAAGAUGAGUCUUACGAUUGUCAGCUAUUGAACAGGAUCAGGCCAGAUGGGGGAAAAGGGGAAAGUCCGGCUGAGAAUGUUCUCUCCAGGAAUGAUCUCACAAAGAGAUAUGCACAGCAGAUAAAAAACGAGAUGGACGGUUCCGUAGAGGUAAAAAGUAUCGAAAAAUUUGACAAUUCAAAAUCAAUAGUUCCCUAUUACAAAUCCUUGAUAAUGGAAUUAGAAGAAGAAUGGAAGAGAACAGCAUCAGCAGCCUUUGAUCGCGACCUAAAGGCACUGAAAAGUCGCGAGCAUCAGCCAAUACCGAACGCAAUGGUCCUCUACCCCUGCCUCUGUGUUCUCGAUAAGGAAGAAUACGUGAAAGCCAUCCUCCGAGAAAUCUGGCGCCUAGCAGAUGGUUCCGAAACCUUUAGUCCCUCUUUCUCAUAUCUGUGCAAGAAUCUCGGAAAGUACAUAAACGAUAAAUACGAAAUCCGGGAGAGCAAGGACAACGGCUACCUGGAGGGCAUGAACAAGGUCUAUUCCAAGUAUAGUCAGUGGUACGUAGAAAGAGUAGAUGGUGUUAACAGCAGAACAGCUUGGCAAAGAAUAACAUCAGAAGUGUCAAGAGACUUAAAACUGGAACUGGCGUGCAUUGGAUGGCCUGUAAACCUCCAAAUCGCAGUGGGAAAAUUCCUGUAUCAAAUAAUUCUCAAGGAUAUCAAGCUGGACGUAAGUACGGUGAGACCAUGCAGCAAAACCAAGCACUUCCUCCCGGCUUUCUACACAUUAUUCAGAAACAACAAUCAGAAAUAUCUUGUCGAGGAAAUAAAACCUCAUCCAAUCCUCUCGAAAAUCUACAGGGAGUCCCAACCAGAAACACUGAAAUUUGACACAGCCCUCGUACCCUCGGAGUGCCCUCCAAAACCCUGGUCAUCAGUGAACAAUGGUGGAUAUCUCUUACUGCGAAGUGAUGUCGUUAGAAUUCCCAUGUAUGCCAUGGAACAGUGGAAGCGUUUGGAAGCAAUCCCGAAACGUCAACUGUGGCCGUCAUUAGACUGUCUCAAUCAGCUAGGUUCCAUUCCCUGGACAGUAAACACUACUAUCCUAGAUCUAGCCAUCAAGAUCUUCAGGAAUGGAGGAUCGGAGAGGCUUAAUGUACCACAGCCACCGUCAGUUCUAGCUCCUGCACCUUUACUUACGCCUGACUGUAGUGAAAGCGAGAGAAAGAAUAUUUAUAAGGCCAGGAUGGACAUCAGGAGGAGAAAGGGGGAAAUGUACUCCCUCUGGUGCGAUGCUCUGUACAGGUUAUCGUUAGCCAAUCAUUUCAGGAAGAGAACGUUUUGGCUACCACAUAAUAUGGACUUCAGGGGGAGAGUCUACCCAGUGCCUCCACAUUUAAACCAUCUGGGCUCUGACCUUGCUAGAUCUAUGCUAGUAUUUGCUUUGGGUAAGCCACUGGGUCCAAAUGGUCUUGACUGGCUCAAGAUUCACUGCAUUAACCUCACAGGGUUCAAAAAGAGGGAGCCCAUCAGCGAGAGGAUAAAGUACGCCAAUGAAAUCCUCGAUAAGAUUUUGGACAGCGCUGAGAGGCCCAUGGACGGGGAGAUGUGGUGGACGACAUCCGAUGAGCCCUGGCAGACCCUAGCUGCCUGCAUAGAGAUAUCCAAUGCUUUAAAGUCUCCCAACCCUGAGGAGUACAUUUGCAGGUUCCCAAUUCAUCAGGACGGCAGCUGUAAUGGUCUGCAGCAUUAUGCAGCUCUUGGAAGGGAUAAGCCUGGAGCUGAGAGUGUUAAUCUACAUCCAAGUCGGGCUCCUCAAGAUGUUUACUCCAGUGUUGCUGCGAUGGUGGACGACAUCAGGAAGACAGAUGCCAGUAAUGGGGUUGAAGUGGCACAAGUGCUCGAUGGCUUUGUCACGAGGAAGGUCAUUAAACAGACCGUAAUGACUACUGUCUAUGGGGUGACAAAGUUUGGGGCGAGGUUGCAAAUUGCCAGACAGUUGAAGGAUCUCGAAGGAUUUCCUCAAGAAUUCGUCUGGAGCGCUAGUUUGUAUCUUGCGCAAAAAACUUUUGAGAGCUUGAGAUCUAUGUUUGAUAGUGCUAGACAGAUUCAGGACUGGUUUACUGACUGCGCUAAAGUCAUAUCGACCAUGAAGGGCAAGAAUAUUGAGUGGGUAACCCCACUGGGACUUCCAGUGGUGCAGCCGUACAGUAAGAUCAAUCCGAGUAAGGAUGGUCUCAAGGAAAUUGCUGUGGACGUUUAUGAAAAACCAAACACGACAAAACAAAAAAAUGCCUUUGCACCGAACUUUGUCCACUCCUUGGAUUCCUGUCAUAUGAUGUUGACGAGUUUACAUUGCGAAUACGAAGGGAUAACAUUCGUCUCAGUGCACGAUUGUUACUGGACUCAUCCAUGUACUGUGGAAAUAAUGAAUAAAAUCUGCCGAGAGCAAUUUGUCUCUCUCCAUUCACAGCCGAUCCUCGAAAAUCUGUCCGACUUCUUCGUCAAACAUUACAUCGGGACACAUCAUGAUGAUCUGGAACACAAGAAAGACCUUGAAUUCGACCUUUCAAUGAGAAAAUUGAAGCAUACCCUGACUUCUCUACCGACGAAGGGCUGCUUCGACCUUAAUAGUGUUCUCAAAUCUACUUUCUUCUUCAGUUAAUCAAUAAUGCAUAGUGUCAAUCAAUGAAUUUUGUGAUAAUGGUAAAUGUAAUAAUUUUUAGGUGAAAAUGAACAAGGUUACUUGGAUAUCCAGAAAAACUGUAUUAUAUCAAUAAUGUACAUAUUCUGAACUAUAUCAUUUAAUAAUGUAACACGAUUCAUUGUUAUUAUUAAAGUAAUGUUUUAAAAA